GACCGCGUAGCUCAGUUGGCAGAGCGUUGGGCUAGUAUUCCAAAGGUCGUAGGUUCGAUUCCCGCCGUGGCCA
rnacentral:tRNA from 1 species